UUUAGGAAAAAAUAAAAUAAAAUAAAAUACAACAUUAAAAAAAAUAAUUAAAAAUAAUGAAGAAAAAUUUGAUACUUAGAUUGAAGAGGUGGUGUAAUGCAAGACAUAUCCAAUGGUUCUAUUGGUGCAUAAUAGAAGAUGUUUAAGUUUAGAAGGAAUUGAUGUCAUAUUAUAAUAUAAUUAUAUGAUGAAAUCUACUUUAUCUUUAUCAAUUAAUAUCUAUUUAGUAUCAAUUAGUAUCAAAUAUUCAAUUAGAAUAGGAUUUUGCUAAAAAAAUCUAUAGAAAAGAUUGGAUUAAUAUCCAAGAGAUGACCAUUUAUGCGUUAGAGUCAAAAUCAAAUCUCAUGCUACUAAAACAGUUAUUUAGAGUAAAGUAAGGAGAUUUUUUAAAGAUUCGCAUUAAAUAUUGGAGGAUUAGCUUUAAGCUUCUUCUAAAGGUAUAAGUCUUGUUUUUAUAGGAUUUGUGAUGGCUUUGGAAUUAUAGUCCAAAAUUAUAAUUUGUAUUAGUAACUUUUGAUUUAGGCAAUAUAAUUAGAGCUAGCACUCUCAAUUAGUCCAUGCAAUUGGUGCCACAUAUAUAGUUCAAAAUUUAAUAAUGCUUAAUUUAUUUGGUAUACUAAGUGUGUAUAAAAUUUUAUAUUAAUUUAAUAAUGUAAUUGAAAGAUAUCUAGUUUUUGGUACAAGUGGAUAUUGAAAGUUAGCAGUUUGGGAUCAU
rnacentral:lncRNA from 1 species